GUUAAGCGACUAAGCGUACACGGUGGAUGCCCUGGCAGUCAGAGGCGAUGAAGGACGUGCUAAUCUGCGAUAAGCGUCGGUAAGGUGAUAUGAACCGUUAUAACCGGCGAUUUCCGAAUGGGGAAACCCAGUGUGUUUCGACACACUAUCAUUAACUGAAUCCAUAGGUUAAUGAGGCGAACCGGGGGAACUGAAACAUCUAAGUACCCCGAGGAAAAGAAAUCAACCGAGAUUCCCCCAGUAGCGGCGAGCGAACGGGGAGCAGCCCAGAGCCUGAAUCAGUGUGUGUGUUAGUGGAAGCGUCUGGAAAGGCGCGCGAUACAGGGUGACAGCCCCGUACACAAAAAUGCACAUGCUGUGAGCUCGAUGAGUAGGGCGGGACACGUGGUAUCCUGUCUGAAUAUGGGGGGACCAUCCUCCAAGGCUAAAUACUCCUGACUGACCGAUAGUGAACCAGUACCGUGAGGGAAAGGCGAAAAGAACCCCGGCGAGGGGAGUGAAAAAGAACCUGAAACCGUGUACGUACAAGCAGUGGGAGCACGCUUAGGCGUGUGACUGCGUACCUUUUGUAUAAUGGGUCAGCGACUUAUAUUCUGUAGCAAGGUUAACCGAAUAGGGGAGCCGAAGGGAAACCGAGUCUUAACUGGGCGUUAAGUUGCAGGGUAUAGACCCGAAACCCGGUGAUCUAGCCAUGGGCAGGUUGAAGGUUGGGUAACACUAACUGGAGGACCGAACCGACUAAUGUUGAAAAAUUAGCGGAUGACUUGUGGCUGGGGGUGAAAGGCCAAUCAAACCGGGAGAUAGCUGGUUCUCCCCGAAAGCUAUUUAGGUAGCGCCUCGUGAAUUCAUCUCCGGGGGUAGAGCACUGUUUCGGCAAGGGGGUCAUCCCGACUUACCAACCCGAUGCAAACUGCGAAUACCGGAGAAUGUUAUCACGGGAGACACACGGCGGGUGCUAACGUCCGUCGUGAAGAGGGAAACAACCCAGACCGCCAGCUAAGGUCCCAAAGUCAUGGUUAAGUGGGAAACGAUGUGGGAAGGCCCAGACAGCCAGGAUGUUGGCUUAGAAGCAGCCAUCAUUUAAAGAAAGCGUAAUAGCUCACUGGUCGAGUCGGCCUGCGCGGAAGAUGUAACGGGGCUAAACCAUGCACCGAAGCUGCGGCAGCGACGCUUAUGCGUUGUUGGGUAGGGGAGCGUUCUGUAAGCCUGUGAAGGUGUGCUGUGAGGCAUGCUGGAGGUAUCAGAAGUGCGAAUGCUGACAUAAGUAACGAUAAAGCGGGUGAAAAGCCCGCUCGCCGGAAGACCAAGGGUUCCUGUCCAACGUUAAUCGGGGCAGGGUGAGUCGACCCCUAAGGCGAGGCCGAAAGGCGUAGUCGAUGGGAAACAGGUUAAUAUUCCUGUACUUGGUGUUACUGCGAAGGGGGGACGGAGAAGGCUAUGUUGGCCGGGCGACGGUUGUCCCGGUUUAAGCGUGUAGGCUGGUUUUCCAGGCAAAUCCGGAAAAUCAAGGCUGAGGCGUGAUGACGAGGCACUACGGUGCUGAAGCAACAAAUGCCCUGCUUCCAGGAAAAGCCUCUAAGCAUCAGGUAACAUCAAAUCGUACCCCAAACCGACACAGGUGGUCAGGUAGAGAAUACCAAGGCGCUUGAGAGAACUCGGGUGAAGGAACUAGGCAAAAUGGUGCCGUAACUUCGGGAGAAGGCACGCUGAUAUGUAGGUGAAGUCCCUCGCGGAUGGAGCUGAAAUCAGUCGAAGAUACCAGCUGGCUGCAACUGUUUAUUAAAAACACAGCACUGUGCAAACACGAAAGUGGACGUAUACGGUGUGACGCCUGCCCGGUGCCGGAAGGUUAAUUGAUGGGGUUAGCGGUAACGCGAAGCUCUUGAUCGAAGCCCCGGUAAACGGCGGCCGUAACUAUAACGGUCCUAAGGUAGCGAAAUUCCUUGUCGGGUAAGUUCCGACCUGCACGAAUGGCGUAAUGAUGGCCAGGCUGUCUCCACCCGAGACUCAGUGAAAUUGAACUCGCUGUGAAGAUGCAGUGUACCCGCGGCAAGACGGAAAGACCCCGUGAACCUUUACUAUAGCUUGACACUGAACAUUGAGCCUUGAUGUGUAGGAUAGGUGGGAGGCUUUGAAGUGUGGACGCCAGUCUGCAUGGAGCCGACCUUGAAAUACCACCCUUUAAUGUUUGAUGUUCUAACGUUGACCCGUAAUCCGGGUUGCGGACAGUGUCUGGUGGGUAGUUUGACUGGGGCGGUCUCCUCCUAAAGAGUAACGGAGGAGCACGAAGGUUGGCUAAUCCUGGUCGGACAUCAGGAGGUUAGUGCAAUGGCAUAAGCCAGCUUGACUGCGAGCGUGACGGCGCGAGCAGGUGCGAAAGCAGGUCAUAGUGAUCCGGUGGUUCUGAAUGGAAGGGCCAUCGCUCAACGGAUAAAAGGUACUCCGGGGAUAACAGGCUGAUACCGCCCAAGAGUUCAUAUCGACGGCGGUGUUUGGCACCUCGAUGUCGGCUCAUCACAUCCUGGGGCUGAAGUAGGUCCCAAGGGUAUGGCUGUUCGCCAUUUAAAGUGGUACGCGAGCUGGGUUUAGAACGUCGUGAGACAGUUCGGUCCCUAUCUGCCGUGGGCGCUGGAGAACUGAGGGGGGCUGCUCCUAGUACGAGAGGACCGGAGUGGACGCAUCACUGGUGUUCGGGUUGUCAUGCCAAUGGCACUGCCCGGUAGCUAAAUGCGGAAGAGAUAAGUGCUGAAAGCAUCUAAGCACGAAACUUGCCCCGAGAUGAGUUCUCCCUGACCCUUUAAGGGUCCUGAAGGAACGUUGAAGACGACGACGUUGAUAGGCCGGGUGUGUAAGCGCAGCGAUGCGUUGAGCUAACCGGUACUAAUGAACCGUGAGGCUUAACCUUACAACGCCGAAG
rnacentral:rRNA from 1 species